UGUGAGCCCCGGGGAGCGGGACCCGUACCAGGCGCGCCCAGCGGGGGAUGCGGUGACCGAGGGGCCGGGAGCGCCGGGCAGGUAACGUAUCCUGGACCUAGAGUCGGGGGACUUUGUUUGGGGCGGGAGGAGCGGAACAGGGGUGGGUGUGAACGCCGGACGGCCCUUCCGGGACUCCUGUCCCCCCUCCUUCGCCCCACUCGCCUGCGCGCUGGAAGCCAAUCUGGGUGUGUAGCGCGAAGAGCGAAAGAGAAACUUCUGCGUGACUGACUAGAUGAGGCUCCUCCCGAGAAGCCGAGAUAAUAGAGGCCCCCUCUCCCGCCGCCCGCCUUUUUCUCCUCCCCCGGCCGCUCGCUCCUGUCGCCCCACCCCUCGAAGGCUGGCGCGGAUUUUAGGGACUUCCUGGGAUGCGGAGAUCGGCUCUGAACCAUCCCCUUUCUGCUGCCCGGAGCUGGGGAAGCUCGCUGUGGAGCGUCUCGCACGUGGCAGGCAGGCAGAGAACUUGCUGCACCUUCUAGGAAAUUGCAAUCGAUUUGUAAUGCACUUUCGCUAAUUGGGAGUUCAAAAUUAAACUUUAAUAAAGCAUUCGUGUCGUCUCGUCUAAUUGUGAAAGCUUCCAUCCGUCCUGGUAGAUAGACUCUAAGUCUCAAGUUAAUGGCGCUAAGCUAGAUUUUCCCCCCAAGUACAAUUCCGUCAGCCGUCGUCGGCGCAGCUGGAUUUCCGUAAGGUACAGAUGUUGCUAAUGACAGCUUAAGCACGGAUGGGCAGAUAGCAUACGGAAUGCAACAUGUUGCCAUAUGGUUCCUUUAGCCUUUCACCUCCAGGGAUAUCAAUCACAUAUAUUCUGGGAGGAACUUAAUGACUCUCUGAACAGCAAAAUGAAUUACCUGGUACAAUUUAUAUCCCUUGACCUGAUACGUUAUAACAACAGGAAGAUAGCAUCUCGCAAUUUCUGUGGUAUAAAUUGAACUACAGAGCUACAUUUAAAAUUCUACAUCUAUUUGUAGUUUAAGGGGCCCUGUCAUAUUCUGGCUGUAAAAUCUGUUUCUGUAUUGCCCAUCUCCUUCCCCCUCCUACCUCUGGAGGAAGCAAAAUUUAUAAAGUUUAGCAAAACUGGUGUCGGAAAUUGCCAGUCAACUGAUUAAUAGAUGAAGUAUGGAGAAAUGGAAAAUAUGACUUCCAGAGCUACUUACUUCAACAAGAAUUAGCCAUCUUUAGGAACACCAUACUUUUAAGCGUACAAAAUUAAAGAACUCCAGAAAAUGUAUUUUCUGCUAGUUGUUUCAGUAUAGCUCCUAAAUCUAUUCAUUAACUAUUUGAAAUUCUCCAUUUAUUUUCAAACUUCAACCAUUCCUACACUUUGGAAAUUACAGAAGACAGUUCUCAGAAAUAUGAAAUACAGGAAAUGUAAGUAGCACCUCCUCAGCGAACCAGUUUCUGUACCCACAACCCCAUGCACUCACUAUUUAUGUAGCUUAAUUUGAAUCAUGUACAUGGUGGUACUGGUAGUUUGCUUUUUCCUCCCAACAUGUCAGUGACAGCAUACUUAAGUUGCUGCUUCUCUCCUAGUGGAGUGAUUCUGCAAUAUUUCACAGGUCUCAUUUUUAAAUAUCCUGGUGACUAAUAAAAUGUUUUAAUUGAUUGCCUUUAAUUUCAGAUUAUAAACGUGGUUGUCUUACUGUAUCCUUUAUUUUCUAUUCACUAAUACAGAUAGAUCACACGGGAAGACAAUACUUUAAGGGCAAAAAGUAAAAUAACUUACUAGAAUUUCUAAACUUUAUGUUUACUUUUACCUACUAAGGGAUAUCUGAAAGGUAGAGACAUACUUUUAAAACUUUUUGCUUCUGGCACUAUGUAAACAUUAAUUCAUGUAAACUAAUGACUAGCAGAAUGCCUAAGAUAGACAUGAACAGUCUGAAAAAGUAUUUACUUUCAGUCAUGUCAAGUUUCGGAAAGUGUUAACAUUUUGAAAGUUUGUCUAUAUAUCAUGUCCUUUCAUAAUUAUUGUGAAAUUAUAAGACGAUGCUUCUCCUUUUUUUUUUCCUUUGUAGUGGCUGAUUUGUUACCUAGUGCUUUAGUUCGAUAAUUUUGAUAAUUAUUAUCAAAUAAGAUCCUUUGUGUGUGUAUAUAGGAGAAAAUCUUAUACAGAACACAUUAAGAUAUACAUAAGUUAUGGCAAUCUUGUCUUCUGGGGCUGUUUUUUAAAUCUUUUAAUGGCUGAGGUUUUAUUUCUCUUUGUAGCACCAGCACUCGAUGUGUCUUAAAUGUGAUCAGUAGUGAUGGUGAGCUUGUCAAUAAUGACUCCAUCUCCAUGACUUGUGAAUAGGCGGUGAGUGUGUCCUUUAAUCAGUCACACAGAACUUGCUUUAUAAAGCUGUUAUUGUCAUGAACAGAUAUUGCAGUCUUGUCAGGCCCAGUGAUUAUUAAAGUGUUCCUUCUUCAAAAGCCAGGCCGAAAGUCCUGCUGUGCUUCAUUUCACAAUUGAAGUCCAUUAGUAAAUAAAAUCCCAAGCCGCACGAUUUGCUGUUCCUCAAGUUAUAGGCUUACAUAUAUUUCAUUAAUAAUCUUGGGCCCUUUUGUAGACAUAAGUAGGUAUAUUUUUGGUAUAUAUAUAUGGCAACAAAAAUAAAAUAUGUAUCUUGCAGCAUGACUUUUAUUUUAAAUGAAGAUUUGAUGGAUGUCCAUUGUUACUCUAAAUGAGGUGGCUGGCUGCCAAGGGAAACCCUACAGUCAGAAAGUACUAGAAUUGUUACUAUCUACAGGGAAUCACUUUCUAUUUUUUGAGUUCUCAACUUCACCUCCUCCUUUCAAUAGUGCCCCUCCAUAUUGCUAAUCUGAGAAUUAGUCUGAAUAUGAAAACUUUUGAAAAUAUGUUUGUGUUGUCCAAGAAAAAUUUCACCAGUGUUUCUGGUUGCCUGCUGGUUUUCAGCCUUUAUCUUGAGUGGGCAUGUUUAUUCUAACUGAAUGAAGAAUGACUAUUGAAUUAGGUAUAUUCCCCAUGCCAAAUAAUUUUAACUGUGAUGUAAUCCUAGCCGCUUUCUUAUUUUUACUCCCGAAUAAAUUUAAAAUAUUUAAGAUUGGCCAGGUGUCUGUUUUUCUCAGGGUAACAUGGGACAGCUAUGGAUAGGCAUUAGGCCUCUCAUAGAACUCUUCAUUCAAGUGAGUGUGGCUGAGAGGAACAACCAGGAAAGAGUAUAGUGCCCCAUUGCACUUGCCCUGUUGGCUUUUCAAAUGCAAAAUCCACGUUGUUGCAUUUGGAAACUUGUUUCUCUGUUUUAUGGUAUUUCAUUUAAGAAUUUUUUUUAACUGCCAGUCUGUAAAUAUUUAACCAGCCAAGCAGGAAACAGCCUUUUAUUCUCGACUGUAUACAGCUUUUGUUUUUAUCUGGGUUAGCAUGGGUGCCAUGUAAAUACCAUAUAAAAUUUGACUUUGGUUGUCCUUACUUUGAAGAUUGACAGGGGUUUCUUUAAUUAAUCUUGUUUCCUUUCAUGUUCUGUAUUGAGAUAUUGAAAUACAGUAUUUUAUACAUUUAUAGGAUUGUGUUUGCAUUUAUUUAAUUUAUGUUUCUUUUUUUGAAGCAUGUAGCCUUGAAUGUUUGUUCUACCCUUUUUUUUUUUUUCACAUCAUUACUCUGGUGCUGCUUGAUGUAACUUGAUUAGCUCCCUCCCCAGUCAUGAUUGGUAAUUAAAAUAGGCAUUAAAAUUAGUCACUUAGCAAUUUUGCUGUUCAAUUGGCAAUUAAAUUACUUAAUUGCAAUUAAAGUCCUAAUUUUAAUUGGCAAAAUGAUAGAUGUAGAUUUAAGAUAAUAUGUAUAAAUACUUUAAUAAGUGUCUAUAUAAGGAUUACUUAAUUACUCAACUUCAAGUUUAUGCUGUUAACUUUAGAACUUUUAAGUGAGCAAUGAAAUUUAUAUUACAUCUAUUCAAAGGAUAUGGUAAUUAGAUUUAUUACUUAUCACUAUAAGGGUCCUUGCUUUAAGUUACUUUUGUAGUGUUAAAAUUGUAGGCUUGAUAAUUGCAGAAUUCUGAUGAGAAAAAGGGCAUAUAUGUCUCUGUUGCAAUAUUAUCAAUACCUUCAUUUUUAAAAUUAAAUUGAGACAUUCCAUCCACCAAUUAGUCUGAGGAAAAAAUCAAAAGUGGUUAUUUUAUCAUUAAAGAUAGAACAAAAACUAGCCAGCUUGUGAUUUACAUAUAAAAACUUGCAAAAUGUAUGUAUUUUAUCUAAAUUUAAAUAAAUGCUAUCUAAUACUGGUAGUGUUAUAAUGCUAUUAACUACUUUUAGAAUUUGCAGAUAUUUGAUGUUUUCUUAGCAUGUAGCAACUUAUUUUCAUAAUCUUUAAACUGUCUUUUAGGACUUUGUACAUUUUAGUGAUGCCUAUGUUUACUAAAAUUAGCAAUGAAAUCUAAAACCAAAGUUAUUCUUCUUUGCCUAAUAAAAAAUAGUUCUUAAAUAAGAAAAUAUUAAGUGGUUAAUUUAAAAGCAAGUAUUUAGGAGAUGGUUACUGGGUGUCAAGUAUUAACAAAAAAUGAAGGAUUUUUAUUAUGCAAAAUACUUUUUGAGUGGCAUGAGGUUUUACCAUAUGUUCAGUUUUAUAAUUUCAAUUUACAAGAAGAUGCUUCCAGAAAAAAGAAUGCUGUUUUUUUUCUGCACAUCUUUACACAUUUCUAGUACUGAGUUCUGUAUCAAAGAAAGAAAUAAUUUUAAAAGUAUUUGUGUUAAGUGGUUUUUGGUAAAAAUCGGCUGAGAAAUACUGAAUAAAAGCUACAACUAUCCAAAAUGUGAAUAUUAACAAAGCAAUUGACUUGUUCUUUAACCAUCCUAUGAGAAAGGAACAAACAAUUUGGUCAAUUACUAUCCUGUCAAUGCAAAUGAAAUGGCAAAAGCAAAACAAUAAAAACACUUUCAGAAGUAAAAACUAAUUUUGUAUUUUCAGAAACAGAUUUUUUUCAAAGUGAAAAUUUAUUUCUUGUAUCAGUAAUGUGACUUACUGCCCAAUGGCAACAAAUGCUGUGAAUGAGUUUGUCCAAAUGUAAUUUAAAAUAUAUAUCUUGUAAUGCUAAAAAUAGGUUCUACAAAGUAAUUUUAUUAUGAAAAAUCUUAAAGUUGCCUCAACUCGUAAAGCAUAACAGGUAUGUCUGUUUCACUAUAUCUGCAUUGUAAGGUCUAUUCUGAAUUCAUUUGGGAAGAAUGGUGAAAUAAAUCCCUAAAGGCCUCUUUCCUAUGCAUUAAAAUAGAAAAUCCUAUGGGAUUACAUUCAUGUUUGCUUUCUAAAUUAUGCCAAAAGCUCAAUUUUAUUAAGUAUAAUCUGCCUAGCCAUGCAUAAAAUAAACUACUUUGGUUUAGAUGUGAGUAUAUGUAUUAUUUAUGUUGAUUUUUAAUGAAAAUAUGUUUACAUGUACCAAUAUGUUCUGCCUAAUAUUGGUUAAUGUCAUAAAAGAUAAUAUAGUAACAUUACUUUCCUAAAUGUU
rnacentral:lncRNA from 1 species